rnacentral:rRNA from 1 species
UACGUAGGGUGCGAGCGUUGUCCGGAAUUAUUGGGCGUAAAGGGCUCGUAGGCGGUUUGUCGCGUCGGGAGUGAAAUCCACUGGCUUAACUGGUGGCUUGCUUUCGAUACGGGCAGACUGGAGGUAUGCAGGGGAGAACGGAAUUCCUGGUGUAGCGGUGAAAUGCGCAGAUAUCAGGAGGAACACCGGUGGCGAAGGCGGCGACCUGGUCCUAUACUGACACUCAUACACGAAAGCGUGGGGAUCAAACAGG